rnacentral:lncRNA from 1 species
UACACGAACUUUAUAAUAUUUUAAUAGACAAUAAAUUUUAUUUAUGAGAUUUAACACUUUGUGUGUUUAGGAAUAAAACAAACUCAUGAUCUCUAAUUAAGAAGAAAGAGGCCCCACGAUCUCACUCAAAUAUUUUUGGGUUGAGUUUAUUUAUUUAAAUACUAUUGCCGAGAGUUUGAACUUCAAAUCAAUUUAAUUAUCAUAAUUAUGAGUUUACUUUGAUUUGGUUAAAGUGAGAUAAAAUAUAUACACGGUCAAAAACUGAUUAAUGAUUCCUUAAUAA